GGUCCGGUGGUGUAGUGGAUAUCACAUCGUUCUUAUAGAUGAGUCUUUGUGCUCUUCAUAUGCGAGGGUCCUGGGUUCAAGCCCCAGUCGGACCA